rnacentral:sRNA from 12 species
GCUGUGGAGCGUCAUACAAACCAAAGUAGUUCCGACGAAAUGGGACGCUACGAAGCAGUAA